AAGGAAGCGUUGAAUUUUGGCGCUUCCUUUUUGUUAAUGUGGCCAAAAGAUAGUUGUAAGCCUAUGUAAACACAGAACAGCAA
rnacentral:ribozyme from 1 species